rnacentral:rRNA from 1 species
GACCCGUCUUGGAGCACGGACCAAGGAGUCCAACAUGUGCGCGAGUCUAAGGGUGAUCUAAACCUGGAGGCGAAAUGAAAGUGAGCUCCUUUUGGGGCAGGCCGAUCCCCUGUGGUGGAGUGUGCGGUGCCUUGCCUGCGGUGAGUGAAUUUCCUGUGGGUGGGGUGCGGUGCGCUGUUCCACGGCCCCGUGAGGGGAGAUGGGGCGCAGGCCGAGGACUUGCCUUAGUGCGGCGCGGGCAACGGGUGGUCACCCUGUGGCUUCCUUAUCCCGAUGUCCGCCGGCAAGUACCUGAGAGCGCAGCCGUUGGGACCCGAAAGAUGGUGAACUAUGCCUGGCGAGGACGAAGCCAGAGGAAACUCUGGUGGAGGUCCGAAGCAGUUCUGACGUGCAAAUCGAUUGUCAGAGCUGGGUAUAGGGGCGAAAGACUAAUCGAACCAUCUAGUAGCUGGGNUUCCUUCCNA